AGUGAACGCUGGCGGCGUGCCUAAUACAUGCAAGUCGAACGAUGAAGUCCUAGCUUGCUCGGAUGGAUUAGUGGCGCACGGGUGAGUAAUAUAUAGUUAAUCUGCCCUACACAGAGGAACAACAGUUGGAAACGACUGCUAAUACCUCAUACUCCUAUUUGACAUAAGUUAAUUAGGGAAAGUCUUUUCGGUGUAGGAUGAGACUAUAUCGUAUCAGCUAGUUGGUAAGGUAAUGGCUUACCAAGGCUAUGACGCGUAACUGGUCUGAGAGGAUGAUCAGUCACAUUGGAACGGAGACACGGGCCAGACUCCUACGGGAGGCAGCAGUAAGGAAUAUUGCGCAAGGGGGGAAAGCCUGACGCAGCAACGCCGCGUGGAGGAGGACAAUUUUCGGAGCGGAAACUCCUUUUAUCAGGAAAGAAUAAUGACGGUACCUGAUGAAUAAGCACCGGCUAACUCCGUG
rnacentral:rRNA from 1 species